rnacentral:snoRNA from 1 species
UCGUUUUUGUGUUUUUCGCUGAUUGUCCUUCCAAAACCAGUGAUUGUCAAACAGAACGUAAAGAAAUGCAGCUUUUCACUCCACAAUGUUGAGCCCAACUACCACGGCUACUGCAUUACUUUCCGGCUCGCCACA